rnacentral:snoRNA from 1 species
CUUCGGGCUGAUAACUAGGCGGCCGGUCUCAAUUACCUACGACGUCUGCCUUUUAAGUGCCCGAUAGAUUGACCUCCUAGCGAAGAUCUUACAUGUUUCCAAGCGCUUAUGCUUCAGUAUUUGGCGACUUUUAAAUUUUCGCAACAUAC